AUUGAACGCUGGCGGCAGGCUUAACACAUGCAAGUCGAGCGGUAACAGAGAGAAGCUUGCUUCUCUGCUGACGAGCGGCGGACGGGCGAGUAAUGCCUAGGAAUCUGCCUAGUAGUGGGGGAUAACUUGCCGAAAGGUAAGCUAAUACCGCAUACGUCCUAUGGGAGAAAGGAGGGGACCUUCGGGCCUUUCGCUAUUAGAUGAGCCUAGGUCGGAUUAGUUAGUUGGUGAGGUAAUGGCUCACCAAGACCGCGGUCCGUAACUGGUCUGAGAGGAUGAUCAGUCACACUGGAACUGAGACACGGUCCAGACUCCUACGGGAGGCAGCAGUGGGGAAUAUUGGACAAUGGGGGGAACCCUGAUCCAGCCAUGCCGCGUGUGUGAAGAAGGUCUUAGGAUUGUAAAGCACUUUAAGUUGGGAGGAAGAGCAGUUAACUAAUAUUUGACUGUUUUGACGUUACCGACAGAAUAAGCACCGGCUAACUUCGUGCCAGCCGCCGCGGUAA
rnacentral:rRNA from 1 species